GCUGGUUUUGCUAAGUGGUUAGAGCAUUGGUCUGAUAACCAAAAGGUCACAGGUUUGAUUCCUGGUCAAGGGCA
rnacentral:tRNA from 1 species